CACGCCUUAUCAACAAAGUUCUUCUGACGCUCAUAAUUUCUCCAAGAGAACAAUCAUCCUUAAAUAUCAUCUUGUAGCUCAAUUUUAUCAUCAAUCAAUAGAAUUGCACCUACAAAAGUAAAACACAAGUAAAUCACUAUUAUUAAGUGCAAAACAUCGAUAUUAAGGGAAGUAAACAAUGCAAAACUAGUGCAUAAAUUGCACUCUAA
rnacentral:lncRNA from 1 species